GAUGCCAAUGCCACCCGACCCCUCUUCCUGAACGUUGAGCGCACGUUGUGCAUAUUGGAUGGCAUGCUCGCCAUGCUUUUGCGAUGCCCCGCAAGCACAGAGACAUUUGCGCAGUUUUACGCGGCCGGUGCACUUAGCAACAAUGCGACUGCAGGCAGUACAUUGUGGUGUGUCCCGUCGACAUGGCCGAGAAGCAUAUUCGAUGCGACUGCCGUGGUCAUUGCCGCAGCGGCCACAGCAAGAUCGCCGAUCUCAGCCAAUUUAUGAAACGCAUUCUGCAACCAUCUUGAUAUGCGCCGUCAAGCUGUCAACCUGGAUGUUCUAAAGAUUCCAUUCCCUGUACUGGUGAAGAGAGCCUCGUUCAGUGCACAUACACCACAGGAAAGGGAAAUGAGCCAGACAGUUUUUCCUAUCAAGGUCCGACUGAGGGGAGCCACGACUGGACGCUGCAUGCCGCCAGGCAGCAGCGUGUACGUUCGCAAUUACGGACAGGGAGAGAAGUGGAUCCCUGGUCGUGUCAAAUCGGCGACCGGAGCACGAAUGGUAACCGUAGACUCCCACUGCCAUUGUCAAGCACCACGUCGAUCAGGUGCGCCGCCGCUGGGAUUUAUCACCAAGGUUUUCGGACACCGAUACGACUGCUCGUGGUCCGGGGUCCAACCAGACGCCAGGUCCCAGCACGGUCACCAAUGCAACCACUUCCUUGGAAGCGGCCGCCCCCAGUUAAUUCUCCAAAUACAGCCGCAAAUUGCGGAUGACAGCAUUCGACCUCGCACCCGCCUCUCCCAACCACCUUGAGUCCGGCCGAAGCUUCACAGCAAGUCCUGCGCCGGUCAACAAGGCAGCGCAAGCCAGUGCAACGGUUCCAUUUUUGAGGAGAGGGCGGUGUUGUCUUAGUCAUGCUACUUCUGCGCAUGCACAGUAUACUUCCGUUCCUUCUUUCCGCUCCCUCUUCCCUCCCCACUUCAGCGGAUAAAAGCUCUCACACGCCCCUAAAUAAACGUCUUCUAUGUUCGAGCGGUCUGUGCCUCGUAACUGUUCGGGCCUCGUGCCGUGGAAAUGCUAC